CCUACGGGGAGCAGCAGUGAGGAAUAUUGGUCAAUGGUCGGGAGACUGAACCAGCCAAGCCGCGUGAGGGAGGAAGGUACAGAGUAUCGUAAACCUCUUUUGUCAGGGAACAAAGGCGGGGACGGGUCCCCGGAUGAGUGUAACUGAAGAAAAAGAAUCGGCUAACUCCGUGCCAGCAGCCGCGGUAAUACGGAGGAUGCGAGCCUUAUCCGGAUUGAUUGGGUUGAACGGGUGGGCAGGCGGUCGGGUAAGGUAGCGGUUAAAGGCCGGGGCUUCACCCCGGGCCCGCCGUUGAAACUGGCAGUCUCGAGUUGGAGAGAAGUAUGCGGAAUGCGCGGUGUAGCGGUGAAAUGCAUAGAUAUCGCGCAGAACUCCGAUUGCGAAGGCAGCAUGCCGGCUCCACACUGACGCUGAGGCACGAAAGCGUGGGUAUCGAACAGGAUUAGAUACCCGGGUAGUC
rnacentral:rRNA from 1 species